ACAUGCAUCAUGGUUCAGGAAGCUCCACGCCGCAUGCAUCCGGCCGCCCAUGGCCGCUGGGAAUUCGGGGCGCACAGGCGCGAAACUUCCUUCUAAUGCACAUAACUGUGCGAAGGGGUUACCAUCUGAGAUGCAUACCAUGAAGAAGGUGGCUUUUCCAUUGGUCAUAAAAAGCCAUUGGGAAUAAGAGGGGGGCUAAGAUUGGUGUCUAGCCUGCCUGCGGUAACUAUAGCCCCUCGAGUGGUGGGGAAUGAUUAUUUGGCCUAAAGCGUCCGAUAGCCUGGCAUAGGUAAGUUUCCCGUUAAAUCCAACGUCUCAAGCGUUGGACUGCGGGAAAUCUGUCUUGGCUAGAGAGUGGGAGAGGUGUACGGUAUUCUGGGGGUAGGGGCGAAAUCCUUUGAUCCCCGGAGGACCACCAGUGGCGAAGGCUGUCACUAGAACACGUCUGACGGUAGGGACGAAAGCUGGGGUAGCGAACCGGAUUAGAUCCCGGGUAGUCCCAGCCGUGAACGAGUCAUCUUGGUGUUGGGUUGGCCACGAGCCACCCCAGUGCCGCAGGGAAGCCGUUAGCAUGCCGCCUGGGAAGUCGAUCGCAAGAUUGAAACUUAAAGGAAUUGGCGGGGGAGCACCACCAGGCGUGAAGCUGCGGUUAUGAGUCAACGCCGGGAACCUUCUGGAAGCGACAGCAAGUGAAGCCAAUUGAAAAUCUUGCAACAGCUUAAGGAGGUGCAUGGCC
rnacentral:rRNA from 1 species